AUGUACAUUCCUACAACGUAGAGUUAAUGCACUGGAUCCCAUUAGAACUCCAUAAUUAAGCACACUUAGGAUAGAGUAGUAUUGGGAUGGGUGAUUUUCCAAGAAGUCCUAGUGUUUUACAUG
rnacentral:rRNA from 1 species